rnacentral:rRNA from 1 species
UACGUAGGGCGCAAGCGUUAUCCGGAAUUAUUGGGCGUAAAGAGCUCGUAGGCGGUUUGUCGCGUCUGCCGUGAAAGUCCGGGGCUCAACUCCGGAUCUGCGGUGGGUACGGGCAGACUAGAGUGCAGUAGGGGAGACUGGAAUUCCUGGUGUAGCGGUGAAAUGCGCAGAUAUCAGGAAGAACACCCGUGGCUAAGGCGGCUCUCUAGUACGGUACUGACGCUGAGACGCGAAAGCGUGGGGAGCGAACAGG